UUCCGGUUGAUCCUGCCAGAGGUCACUGCUAUCGGGGUUCGAUUAAGCCAUGCGAGUCGAGAGGGUUCGGCCCUCGGCGUACUGCUCAGUAACACGUGGAUAACCUGCCCUAGGGGAGGGGAUAACCCCGGGAAACUGGGGAUAAUACCCUAUAGGUUACAGAUGCUGGAAUGCCCUGUAACCAAAAGCUCCGGCGCCCUAGGAUGGAUCUGCGGCCGAUUAGGUUGUUGUUGGGGUAACGGCCCAACAAGCCCGUAAUCGGUACGGGUUGUGGGAGCAAGAGCCCGGAGUUGGAUUCUGAGACACGAAUCCAGGCCCUACGGGGCGCAGCAGGCGCGAAACCUUUACAAUGCGGGCAACCGUGAUAAGGGAACCUCGAGUGCCUGUAAACGCAGGCUGUUCAGGUGUUUAAAACGCACCUGGAGAAAGGGCCGGGCAAGACCGGUGCCAGCCGCCGCGGUAAUACCGGCGGCUCGAGUGGUGGCCGCUUUUAUUGGGCUUAAAGCGUUCGUAGCUGGGUUGUUAAGUCUCUUGGGAAAUCUGGCGGCUUAACCGUCAGGCGUCUAAGGGAUACUGGCAAUCUUGGAACCGGGAGAGGUGAGGGGUACUUCGGGGGUAGGGGUGAAAUCCUGUAAUCCUCGAGGGACCACCUGUGGCGAAGGCGCCUCACCAGAACGGCUUCGACAGUGAGGGACGAAAGCUGGGGGAGCAAACCGGAUUAGAUACCCGGGUAGUCCCAGCCGUAAACGAUGCGCGUUAGGUGUAUCGGUGACCACGAGUUACCGAGGUGCCGAAGGGAAACCGUGAAACGCGCCGCCUGGGAAGUACGGUCGCAAGGCUGAAACUUAAGGAAUGGCGGGGGAGCACACACCGGGUGGAGCCUGCGGUUUAAUUGGAUUCACGCCGGA
rnacentral:rRNA from 1 species